CGUUGGUGACCAGCGGAGGGAUCAUU
rnacentral:rRNA from 3 species